UUUUCUCCACUUGAGUCAUUCUCACUCCCAUUGCUGGGCCUUUGUCAGACAGUCCUUUGUCACUUUUGAAAAUGUUAUUUCUUAGGAAAUAAAAGCACAGUAUGGCCAUGGUUAGUUUUGCUGGUAAGUUCUAUUACUUGACACACAUUUCCUGUAAUAGAAAAAUACGAAUCUGAUCAGUGUGUUAGGAGGUCUAUUACUACCACAACUAUUAUCUUUGUCCCUGAACACCAUGGUCCUGUACUUCAGAAGCAUGUUCUUCUAAAGCGAUCAUGUUGGGGAAACAGGACACACUGUGCUUAUCUAAUGCUGAUUUCCUUUACAAAAGGAAAAGAGGAGAAUGAAAUGAAGCCGUGCAGUUCCAGCAGAGCUCUCUGCAAGUAUUUUUUCCAUAUGGGUGUGUUUCAUCACUGAUUCUGGUCAGGGAUGUUCAGAUUUUCUGUUUACAUUUAAUUUGCAUUGCUUUUUGUUCAGCCCUGUCUACAUCAACAUUCUUUACACUCAUUUAAGUUAAUUGUGCCUCCUUAAAAGAUGUCUCCAAUCCUCAGUGCUUUGAAACUUGGUAGAAGCAUCUUCUGAGGACAAGAAAAGAUGCAGGUCAGGGAUUUGGCAAUGGGGUUUUAAACCUCAAGCAUCAGCAGGGAACAGCUUUCUGGAUCAGCAAUUCUACUCAUAAACUUUUGGGAAACGUUUUUAUAUUAAGUGGUGGUGUAAUAAUGGAGUCGAGUGCUCAAAGUGCAUGACUUUUAAAAAUAAUGUUCAAUGCUUCAGAAAUGUUUAAUGCUUAUAACAGGUGCCAUAACUGAUCCCCUCAGACUCCUGAAGUGGGUAGAAUUAUGAGUCAAAUUGUGUCCCCCCAGAAUAUGCUGAAGGAUUAAUCCUAUCUCUCAGUACUUCAGAAUGUGAACGUAUUUGGGAAUAGGGUGAUUGCAGUUGCAAUUAGUUAAGUUCACAUGAGGUCACACGGGACGAGGGUAAGCUCUAGUCCAACAUGGCUGGUGCCCUGAUGAAAAGGGGAUAUUUGGACACAGCCAUGCACACAGGGAGAACACUGUGGGAAAAUGGAGGCAGAGACCAGGGUGCUGCUUCUACCCAACAAAGAAUGCCAAAGGUUGCCAGAAAACCACCAGGUAAGAGGCCUGGAACAGAUCCUUCUCUCACUGCCCCUAACUUCAGACUUUUGGCCUCCAGAACUGUGAGACAAUCAAUUUCUCUUGUUUUAAGGUACCCAGUUUGUGGUACUUUGUGAUGACAGUGCUAACAAACUAAUAAAUGUGGCCAUUCUCUUCUUUUACUGAGGAUGCUUCAUUGACAGAGCUUGAGGAACACUGAGCUUGGUCAUGGAAAAGAGCUCAAUUUUGGAGUCCAGAGACCGAGCUUUGGAUUCUGGCUAUGUCAUGUAUCCUUGGGCAUAAAUCCAAAUGUCCCAUUGUGAGCAUAAGCAGGAAGGUCCGUGUAGUAACACCAAGAAUGGAACCUCACAACCUGACGGGUUCUCAAUGAAUGCUAUUCUCAUCUUGUCUUUCCCUUCUGAGCAUUUGUCUAAGAGAUGAAAAGCUCAGCCUGCAGAAGUAAAGUGUCUUGUCAGUUACACCAUGAGCCACUGAAAGGCUGGAUAUCAAGUCCAGGCCACCUGAUGCCACACCUGCUCUGUGGUUACCCUUGAUGUAGUCUUUGGUGAUCCUCAUGUCCCCCUUAUAAAAAUUCCCCACAUACUGUCUCCUAUAAAGAAUUAUAGAGGAGAAUCCCUAGGCCUCCCAUGCUGUUUCUACUAUUAAGUGAAAUGCGCCUGCUCCUGAAAGGUUCUUGCACUACCCAAAAAGCCUUUGUAACAAAAUAAGUGCCCCAAUAUCAUUCUUAGUUUUUACAUAUUCUUGAUAUGUAAUUGUUAGCAUGAGCUAAUUAUGGGUGCAUGGAAACUUCUAUUUUAUUAAAAGGCAUUUUGCAAUGUUCCUUAUGGGAAAAAUGGUUUUGCAUCUUUUAAGAAGGAACCCAUUGGAGUCAGAGGGCUGAUGGAGGUUGUGAAAACUGCAGAGGCCUGUCCUGCAGGAACACAACCUGGGUGCACGGUAAUGAGGCAUGAUAAACAAGGGAUUCAAGCAAAGCCACUGGUGGGGACUAACUCCAGAUGCUAGGUGGCAUGCACGCAUUAUGUCUUUCUAACAGAAUAAAGCCAUGGAGGAGAAAUCAAUUUGCAGAUUCAGGAAUGUUGCCUGAGUUAUGCUCCAGUAUUGAUAAAGAUCAAGGGCUGGGAGUUCAGCCUGCAUGAAUCCUGCAUACCCUGAGAAAGUCAGACGCACUCUGGAAAGAGCUACAGGUCCCCAUCUCCGAAACAUACCCCAGUACACCUCUCUACAAAAUGUUUCAAACGACUGCCAGGGGUUCAGCCCCUCUCCCAGGCUCCCAACUCACUCUUAGGUCCCUGAACUCCAGAUUAAAAACCAUCUACAUUUCCCUUAUUGACCUCCCUCAAAAAACAAAAACAAAACAAAAACAAAAAAAGAAAAGAAAAAGAAAACAAACCUAUGUGCUAGCUUAAAGGACAUUUUAUGACUUUUAUUUAGUGACAGAGGCAACUAAGAAAAAAAAAUCAUGUGGCCUGGAGCAAAGAAUAAUCAUCGAUAAAGUAGCAUUGGUGGGCGAAACUUGAAACCAUGGUUUAUUGAAUGAAAAGAACUCUCAGAGUCUGGAGGCCCUGGCUGGGUUUUAGGCUCUAUCAAACGUGUGUAAGCAUGAGUGAACUUCUCUCAGCCUCAGUUUCUCUAUGAAUGUCUGCAGAAGUCACAGCACCCACCUCGCAGCUGCCUGUGAGUAAUAAAUAACACUGCAGAUCUCAAAUCACCACGUGAGUUGUCAAUGACUAGAAAGUGGUAUUAUUCAUAUGAAAAAUAAACAGUGACAAAAACACUUCAGCACUUAUGUUUUUAGAACUUGGUUCUAAACUUUGAGAAUUUUAGUGCACUCUAAUAAAAAAUAUAUUUCAUGAAAAAAACAAGACAAUGAAAGAUUUGGUCCUAUUCUAUCCAUGUUUGAAUUUUUAUAUCUAGAGGGAAACCCUAACUAGAAAUUGCAAACCAGCCCACAAGUGUGUUGUUUCAUCUGCAGGGUGUUAAGCAAGCUUUGCUUUGUUUUUUAAAUCAAUUGCCUACAUUUAAAACUAGAAGAUUUUCCUAUUAAACAAACCCUGAGCCAGGUGUGGUGUUGCACACCUGCAGUCUCAGCCAUUUGGGAAGCUGAGGUGGGAGGAUCAUUUGAGCCUAGGAGUUCUAGGUGGCAGUGAGCCAUGAUCACACCACUGCACUCCAGCCUGGGUGACAGAGUGAGAUCUUGUCUCAAAAACAAAAAACACCCCAAACCAAAACAAAAACUCUGGGUUUUCAGUUUCUUUCAGAAAAAUAAAAGCAGAAUUCAUAGCACAACUGGUUGGUAUUUUCUACAGCCCUCUGUGCCCACUCCUGGGCUGUUUGCUACCCUGGGCCAGCCACAGAGAAGGUACCUCCUGGUGUCACUUUCCCAACAGGAGGCCUAGAGUUUCAGGUAGCUCGCUCCCUCCUUCCUUCUCGCUCGCUUUCUUUCUUUCUUUUCUCUCUCUCUCUCUCUCUCUCACCAUCAACAAGGCUGGAGUGCAGUGGUGUGAUCUCAGUUCACUGCAACCUCCACCUCCCAGGUUCGAGUGAUUUAUAUUUCAGCCACCCAAGUAGCUGGGAUUACAGGAGUGCACCACCACACCUGGCUAAUUUUUGUAUUUUUAGUAGAGAUGGGGUUUCACCAUGUUGGUCAGGCUGGUCUUGAAUUCCUGGCCUCAACUGAUUUGCCUGCCUUGGCCUCCCAAAGUGGUGGGAUUAUAGGCAUGAGCCACCGUACCUGGUCUCAAGUAGCAUCUUUCUAAAAAAAAUUAAACUUGUAAGGAGACAGCCAAUGCUUGAGACCAAACAUGGGGUGUGUUAUCCCUUGCCCCUCGGCUUUGUUUUACCCUCAGGUAAGCCUCCUUGGCCCAGAUGUAGGUGAACAGUGCCUGGAUGGAGGGAGCCUCUUUCUUGUAAAAUGAGCGCAAGAUCCUGUGAGGAUUAAAUCAGAUGACAUAUAUAACAUCUUGCAAGAGUCAACAUUCAGGAAAUGGUAGUUCAGAGCAGGGGUGUCCCAGACCACUGAGGGCCUCACAAGAUUCUGGAAAGUAAUCUGUAGCUCCAACUCGAAGGAGUAAUGGUCACAGCACCACAUCUGUUUGCCAGGGUCAGCUUGGGGAAUAAGGUACCACCUGAGACCACAGUUUCAGAGAACAAGGACAUAGGCCAGGGACUAGAGCCCAAAGUGUGAACCAACCUUAAGUGCUAACGCGGAUGCCUUUUGCCUUUGGCAAAUCACCCUUAUGUAACCACGAGUGUUAGAAUGUCCGGGGAAAUGUCCUGAGCAGAGCUGUGUCUGUUUUAACAAGGCCAUGUGUAGCAGAGUCGUGUACCUGAAUUUGUUCCAAAGAAGACAUUACCAGUGAUAGUCUGGUGCAUUGGCCCCAAGGGCUCACUUCCAGAACAAAUACACAUCCAACUUCCUACAGAGAGCCCAUGGCCAGAGGCCUGCAAACUUAAGGAGGCCUGGGCUUCUUUGGGGUAGGAGGGAAGCAGUUGCCAGGCACUGCUAUGAACCUGACUAGCAUUAUCGUCAAGAAAAUCACCAGUCCCCAGAAGCCAUGCCAGAAGUGACCUCACUGCUUUCUUCUCCCUGCCAAGGAUUCCACCCAAGCCUGUUUUAUAGGAAGUUGCCUUUCUUUUGAGCAGAAGGGGACCAUCCCUGUACUGAGCAAAAGUUACAGUGAGUUCCUGGCACUCUGAAAGAGCAUGCACGCUGUGGGGAGCUGCCCCUCACUUUGGAUCAUUGCUGACUCCGCCUCCUCCUAAUAAUGGCAGCCAAUCUCUGUCUCUGUCUGGUCUCAUUUACUGAAGAUGCUCCAUCCCUGGAAGGAUGUGGCUGGGGGAGAAGGGGCAAGCCUGAGCUGCUAACCCUCUUGGGCUUAUCUGAGGUUGGGAAAGAGAGACAACUGGGUUGCUUUCAAUUCCAAAAACAGUGGAAGAAGUGAGAGAAGGCUUUACUGUGUAACCUGAUUGUUCUGAAGAGAAGGGGUGUCACUCUGUUGCCCAGUCUGGAGUGCAGUGGUGUGGUCAUAGCUCACAGAAGCCUUCAACUCCUGGAUUCAAGUGAACCUCCUGUGUCAGCCUUCCAAGUAGCCAUGACUACAGAAUUACAGAAUUAUUCAGAUGGGCUUCUCUCAGACUGCUGAAGAUAAAGAAAAUCUCAGAGGUCCUCAGAAAAAAGAAGACAUUCUUCUGAAUUUCAGGACAUUUCUUCAGAGCUAAUUUAGAAGUUCUAGCAGGGGAGGACAGCUACUCUUAUGCCCUUUACAGAAGGAUGGCCCUCUUCUACAAAAGAAGGUCAUCCUCUUCCACCAGAACACGUGCAGCUUCAAGAGAGACACAUAUAGGACGGGACAUGGAUGAAUCUGGAGAAUGUCAUCCUCAGCAAACUGACACAAGAACAGAAAAUGAAACACAGCAUAUUCUCACUCACAGGAGGAAGGUUACAUGACAAUGAAAGCAGAGAUUGGAUUCACGUGGCCAGGAGCUAAGGAAUUCUGAUGACUUAUAACAGCUGGAAGAUGUAAGGAAGUGUGUUCUCUGGAUCGUGCAGAGGGAACCAGCCCUGCUGACACCUUGAUUUUAGCCCUAUAAAACUCAUUUGAAAUUCUGACCUCCAGAACUAUAAGACAAUACAUUUGUGUUAUUUUAAUCCACUAAAUUUGUGGUCAUUUGUUAUAGGAACAAUAUAAAAAUGGUCUUCCUGUAAGUGAUAUUAUACAACUUCAGCACUAACAUGAAAAUCUCAUGAUAGUAACUUGAUCAAGCUAAGGAGCAGCUGUCAAUGGAAAUAAAGUAGCACUUCACCUGGUUUUCAAAUGCCAGGAUCAUAGAAUAAACAUGUCUGCUCAAGUGUUUGUUCGAAGUGUCUAGACAGCCUAACAAUUUGAUCCAUUUAAUUCCUUAAAUUAGGUUUCUUGUUGGAAAAGAAGUAUUAUUGAUUAGAAAAUCCAAAUGAGCACCUCCUGAUAGUGCCUGUGAGUACAUUAGAAACUACCUUUACUAUAAAGUAGAUGGUACUGAAUAUGUGAGUUGCUUAAAUUUUAGUCUCCUUGAAUAUAGUUAUAAUUUUGAUACCAUAAAAGUAGAAUCCAUUUCAAAUGCAUUCCUCUGAUGGACUCAGUACAAGGAAUUCAUGUUAAAUAUAUCCUUUUAGAAGAAAAACUUAAAAAGUUUAGUAGAUUAUAGCAGGUAAAAUAUAGUAGGCUAGGAUGCAAACAAUGUUAAUGAAGUAUGAUUAUUCACUGAAUUUUCAAGGAAUUAUAAAAUUCUUUAUGUCAUUUCUAACAAAGUGUAUGGUGUUUUGAGUAAAUGGUUAUAAAAAUAUAAAUUUGUAUCUGUGGUGGUAAUUUUGCUUGAUAUUAUGGCUACUGAAAUGAGAAGGGCUGUUAUACCUCUUUGAUUCCCUGCACCGCCUCCAUUCCUGGCUCUAAGAAACCUUUAGUGAGUCUCUUUAAUGGGAUAAAGCAGAAAGAAUAACUAUAUAUGAUGUUAUAUGCACUCAUUGUACUUGAUUAGAAUGGGAUGAACAGUGAGCAAUGUAUAUAGAAAUGAUUAUAUCUGUGAAAAAGAUAAUCCAGAUUCCAAAAAUGAAAAUCACAUUUGUACAGUACAACCAUGGGGAGGCUCAUACAUUGUUUAAGUUAUAAAACAAUCUUAGGACAUUGAUAAAGAGAAAACAAUCUUGUAUUGAAAAAAACUAUGAAGGACCAACUCUGACUCAAGAACUUUUUGCUAGAAAUUUAGAAGAAUUAUGAGAAAUAAAAUAUUUA